CACAAAUCUCCUCUAUUAUGUUUAUUUUUAUUCCUGUACAGGGGAAAUGUUUGAAAGCCCCAUAGAGAGUAUAUGGAUCUCUGCCCAAGAAUUCCCAUUGCUGCCCCAUUCACGUAGAGAACAGAAAUACGCAGAGACUGAAGAUUUCAUUCACUAAAUGUUAAUAAAAUAUUCAAUACAAUAAGACAAGUUUAUCUGGUUGCUCUGUGGAGACGAGUCUUGGCCGGGAGAAGUCUUCAUGAUGCCCCGGGCCGGAUAAUGGGAAAAAAAAG